rnacentral:rRNA from 1 species
GGGGCUUUCUGACAUCACUCCAACCCCUGUGACAUACCUAUGUUGCUUCGGCGGGCCGUCCCGCGGCGCGCCCACGUGGCGUGACCCGGACCCAGGCGCCCGCCGGGGAACCAAACUCUUGUCUUCGAGUGUCUCCUCUGAGUGGCAUAAGCAAAAAUAAACAAAACUUUCAGCAACGGAUCUCUUGGUUCUGGCAUCGAUGAAGAACGCAGCGAAAUGCGAUAAGUAAUGUGAAUUGCAGAAUUCAGUGAAUCAUCGAAUCUUUGAACGCACAUUGCGCCCGCCAGUAUUCUGGCGGGCAUGCCUGUCUGAGCGUCAUUUCAACCCUCAGCCCCCGUUCGCGGGGCGCUGGCGUUGGGGCCCGGCCGUCCUCGCGGCGGCCGUCCCCGAAACACAGUGGCGGUCUCCCGCAGACUCCCCUGCGUAGUAGCACUACCUCGCAGAAGGGACGAGCGGGCUGGCCACGCCGUAAAACACCCCACUUCUCCAGGUUGACCUCAGAUCAGGUAGGAAUACCCGCUGAACUUAAGCAUAUCU